UACGUAGGGUGCGAGCGUUGUCCGGAUUUAUUGGGCGUAAAGAGCGUGUAGGCGGCCAUACAGGUCAGCUGUGAAAACUCGAGGCUCAACCUCGAGACGUCGGUUGAAACUGUAUGGCUAGAGUCCGGAAGAGGAGAGUGGAAUUCCCGGUGUAGCGGUGAAAUGCACAGAUAUCGGGAAGAACACCCGUGGCGAAGGCGGCUCUCUGGGACGGUACUGACGCUGAGACGCGAAAGCGUGGGGAGCAAACGGG
rnacentral:rRNA from 1 species